UGAAGCAGCAUCAGAAGCUCUCCAAAGCUCUCAUACUCUCCCUCAGAUUUUCUCACUCAAUUUCCUCCUGUUCUUUAUUCUUCUCUCCUUCUGUAGACAGUAGGUUAGUUUUGAUUCAGUCUUUAAGCUUUCAAUUCCGUCAUCUGUACAUCGGCAAAAGUCGGUGACUUCUAUCUUUCUUUUAUGAUUUCAGAAUGUGUGAUUGUAAUAUACCUUCCUUACCUUCCUAC
rnacentral:lncRNA from 1 species